GACGUAGGGCGCGAGCGUUUGUCCGGAUUUACUGGGCGUAAAGAGCGUGUAGGCGGCCCGGUAAGUCCGCUGUGAAAGUCGGGGGGCUCAACCCUCGAAUGCCGGUGGAUACUGUCGGGCUAGAGUGCGGAAGAGGCGAGUGGAAUUCCUGGUGUAGCGGUGAAAUGCGCAGAUAUCAGGAGGAACACCAAUUGCGAAGGCAGCUCGCUGGGACGUAACUGACGCUGAGACGCGAAAGCGUGGGGAGAAACAGG
rnacentral:rRNA from 1 species